GGGGGGGGGGGGUAUUCCCAUUUCCCAGCCCAAAUUUUGACUAAAUCCAUUGUCCCAGAGCACAAAUCCCAUCAUCUCAGUGGCUGUCCUGCUCAAAUCUUAAUCUCGUUCCCAUUUUCUAUUGUUUUUUUUUCCGAUGAAUCCCAGUCCCAGUGCAUGAAAUCCCAUUUUCCCACCCAAAAAUAAGCAAAUCCCAGUUCCUAUUUUACCCCUUCAGGACCCUCAUAUAACAAGAAUGUUACAAGGUUGACGACACAAGGUUGUAACAAUAUUGUUAUAUCAUGACUGUAUCAGACUUGUUAGAACAACC